rnacentral:rRNA from 1 species
ACCUACGGGACGCAGCAGUGGGGAAUAUUGGACAAUGGGCGCAAGCCUGAUCCAGCAAUGCCGCGUGGGUGAAGAAGGCCUGCGGGUUGUAAAGCCCUUUAAGCGGGGAGGAAAGCCGGGGCGUGAAUAGGGCCUCGGGGUGACGUUACCCGCAGAAUAAGCACCGGCUAACUCCGUGCCAGCAGCCGCGGUAAUACGGGGGGUGCGAGCGUUAAUCGGAAUGACUGGGCGUAAAGCGUGCGUAGGCGGUGUAAUCAGUCAGCCGUGAAAGCCCCGGGCUUAACCUGGGAAUGGCGGUUGAGACGGUUAAACUAGAGUGGGCUAGAGGACUGUGGGACUCCCGGUGUAGCGGUGAAAUGCGUAGAGAUCGGGAAGAACACCGUUGGCGAAGGCAGCAGUCUGGGGCCACACUGACGCUGAGGCACGACGGCGUGGGGAGCAAACAGGAUUAGAUACCCUGGU